UAACGCGUGAGCAAUCUGCCUUUAAGAGGGGGAUAACAGUCGGAAACGGCUGCUAAUACCGCAUAAAGCAUCAAAUUCGCAUGUUUUUGAUGCCAAAGGAGCAAUCCGCUUUUAGAUGAGCUCGCGUCUGAUUAGCUGGUUGGCGGGGUAACGGCCCACCAAGGCGACGAUCAGUAGCCGGACUAAGAGGUUGAACGGCCACAUUGGGACUGAGACACGGCCCAG
rnacentral:rRNA from 1 species